rnacentral:rRNA from 1 species
AGUUCGUGGAUUAAUUUGUCUGGUUAAUUCCGUUAACGAACGAGACCUUAACUUGCUAAUUGGGAUGUAGUAUUUAUACUACAUCCUAUUAGAAGGACCAUAUGUGUCUAACACAAGGAAGCGUGAGGCAAUAACAGGU